GGCCGCCUGGCGAAAUGGCAUCGCGUCUGACUACGAUAACAGUCGGCGAUCAGGAGAUUGCAGGUUCGACCCCUGCGGUGGUCA